rnacentral:lncRNA from 1 species
UUCACUCUGAUGUUAGCCACACUGACCUGACAGUGAAUUACUAUCAAGAAAAGUGAACUUCCUGUGAAACGCGGCUCUCGCUUUCACCGAGGAAAAUGGUUGCUGUGCAGAGAUUGUCCAGAAGAAGGAGCCAAAGACUUUGAAAUGUGCCAGGAGCCCUGAGCUGAUUCUAGGGAACAAGAUGCAGCAGCCCCAAAAGGGAUCAAGCAACGCCUGACUAGUUGCUAUGGGUGCCUGCUGCUCUCAUACUGGGUGCUCAACUGGGCUCCAUGUGCUUCCCUAUGAAUCAGUCAUGCAUGGCCUGGGACACCUGGGCCCCACAUUUUCCCCACUUCAGGAUCCUUGCUUUGGUUCAUCAGGAUAGUAUAAAUUAUGAAUACUUGCUUUAAAAAAAGUGGUAAAAAAAUAUACACACUG